UCACAAGCCUGGGAACUGCAGGCACAGUCAGGAAGGUAGGGAAGGGUAUCUCCAAGACAGGCCCACCAGGAGCCCCCACUGGGAGUAGUGCAGCCCCUCUCAGGGGAUGGAGUGUCUGGAAUUCCAUGGCUGAGGUGCAACAGGUGACUGAAGUUUGAGGAGGCAACGCUCCCACUCACAGUCAGAAGCAGAGGGGAUGAGAUGGCCAGAUGUGAUUGGAAUCAGACACAGUGAGGUUUGAAUCCUCACUCUGUCCUUUUUGUUGUGUGGCCUGUGUGACAGGUCCCACAGCCUCUCCAGCCUCUGUGGGAAGAAGGAUCAUCUGAUGCCUACGUAAUAGAGUUGCUGAAGGAGUGGAAGCAGCUUUGACAUUAUCAGUGGAACCCACCAGUGCAGACUGCUUCAUCCAGGGGCACCUGAGGCAGCAGAUCUGAGGAUUAGGGACGUCGGGAGCUGAAGCGUGGCUGGAGAGGUGGUGCGCACAAGAACCCCCACAUUCCCCGACAGGAGCCUGAAAAAGUUUCUUUUGCAGAUACCCUGUGAUUGCCAGCAAGUAAACCAGAUGCAAUUGUGGUUUCCGUGAAGCACAGCUGGAAAACUGCUGCCCCCACGGAGGAAGAGGAAGAUGGGAAGAUAGUGGUUACUGCACACCAGGCACCAGCCUCGGGGCUAUGAGCUGUACAAACAUUACCCAUUUUAUCCUCGUGACCAUGUUCUGAGAAGGCUGUCAAUGAUCUCACUUUAUACAUGGGGAAAUUCAUGCAGACAGAGGCUGACUAAAUUGCCAUGGUCACUCAGCUAGUAGGAACUGGAGCUGUAACUUGAACCCGGGUCUUUUGUUUCUGUGGCUCCUGGUAGCACAUGCCGGGCUUGAAGUGAGAUCCGGAGGAUGUUGGAAACAACGUGUUCCUCAUCAUGAAAGUCCUUAUGAUACCUUAUGAUGCAGAGUUGGCAGCCAGGAGCAGGGGCUUCCAGAAGCAUGGCUGACCCUUGUUGGGAUCUCACUCCUGUGAGCCUUGGAACGUCUAGGGAGAAAGAGCAGCCAAAUUUAGAGCUGCAGGAGCUGUGAGAUGCAGCUCAGGCAUCAUCUCUGGGAAGUCUUUCCUGGAACCACAGCCUGGGCCCUGCACCUGAUUCCCAGCCCCUGUGGCUCUUUUUGCAUUUGCUGCCUCUUUUCACAAUUCUGUCUCCUUUUGUCUUCCACUCUACACGCAAGCCCCUUGAGGGCAGGACCAUGACUCAGUCAUCCUGUACCCUAGCACCCACCCUGGGUCUGCAUCUGGAAGGAGCUCACUAAGUGAUUAUUGAGCCAAACUGAACUGUAGCAGGAGUGAGCAAAGCUAAAUCAUGGGUGCAGAAUGGGAGCACAGAGCUGCCAGAAUCCAGAGACAACUGUAACUGUCCCAGCACAGGGGGCUUCAGGCCGCGGUGAGAGCCACUGAAAGCAAGAGAGUCAGGUGGUGGCUCAGUUCACACUGAGUCCUGCUGAAGAAAUAGGCACAUCGUGUGUGUUAAAAUCAGCACCCCACGCACCUGUAGGAAGAGACUGAGGCACCCUGGAGGCCCCUCCCAAUAAUUAAAAGGCCCUCUGGGGCCUGUGGGAGCCCUAGCUGAUGAAAUCACAAAGGCCUCAGCCUCUAAAGUGUUUCCAGUAAAAUGCUACCAGGAUUUUCCUCCCUUAAAUCUGGAUGAAAGGGCUGUCUGUGCUACAAAAUGCACACCUGGCGUUGAUACGCAGUCUCUUGCUGCCUGUUAACCAACCCACCAGCCGACAAGUUCUGCCCACUGGCAGGGGCAAGGACUUAUAAAAAAUAGUGCCUCCCUCCCAAGGGCUUAUGAGCUGGUUAAGUGCAGAGGACAAAUAGAAUGAAAGAAAAGGCAAUCUCGGCAUAGUAUUCAGUUAAUUCUUCUCUCUCUCUUCUUCCCUCUCUCUCCUUUCUCUCUUCCUCCCUCCUUUCUAUGACUUGUCCUCUCCACACAACUCCUUUUCCGUUUUCCCUCCCCUGCCUCCCCACCUUCUUUCUUGACUUCCCAUCUUGCUCCCUUUCUUCCUGCCUGCCCAUCUGCUUUCCUUUCUUAUCUCUGGUGCAAAUUCUGCAUAUAGUCGCUCUCCUCAUUUCAUGACAGGCUGUCUUCAUCAGUUUCUGAGUUCUUUUGUUAUUUUAUAAAAUAUUUUACAUGCUGUCCUCAUAAAAUCCCCUCCCCCAGAAAAGGCCCAUUCAAAAGUACUUACUAUACGUCCUUAGAUAGGCAAUGAUCUCUGAAAUAUAUAUAGGCUUGCUCUAUAUGUGUUUUUGUAAGUGUACUUUUCUUUCAUUAAAUAUGCAGAUCUUAACUGUACAGUUUGAGGUGUUUUGACAAAGGUAUAUACCAGUAAAACCACCACCCCAACCAAGGUACCGAACACUUUCAUCUCUCUGGAAAGUCCCCUUGUGCCACCUUCCAGUCAACUGUCACCCUCCAGAGGCACCCACUGUUCAGAUUUCUACACGCAUUUUGCCUGUUGCUGAACUGGAACCUCACAGCCUUUUACGUCUGGCUUCUUUCACUUAACAUAAUGUUUUUAAGUCAUCCAUGUAGUUCAUUCUUUUUUUUGUUGCAGAGCAAUAUUCCAUUGUGUGAAUGGAUGUACUUUAUCCAUCAACAGUUGAUGAAGUUGGGUUGGUGGCACUUUUUGGCUAUCGUGGGUAAUGCUGCUCUGGAUGUUUCUGCACAAGUCUUUAUUGUGGACAUGGGUUUCCAUUUCUUCUGGGUAAAUGCCCAGGAACAGAAUUGCUGAUUCAUUAGGAAGUUAUAUGUUUAACUUCAUAAGAAACUGGAAAACUGCACUCCACAGUGUUCAUGCUAUUGCACAUUGCCCCCAGUGCCAUGAGAAUGUUUCAUUCUUGGGGUCUAGAAUAUCUUACUGCAGUUUUAAUUGGAAGUUCUCUGAUGACUUUUGAUAGAGUAUCUUUUCAUGUGCUUAUUGGUUAUUUAUUUCUUCUUUAAAGAAGAGUCUAGAUCCUUUUCCCAUUUAAAAUUGCAUUGCUUCUAUUUUUACUGUUGAUUCUUAGAAGUUCUUUACAUAUUUUAGAUUUAUGUACAGUAAAUAUUUUCUCCCAGUCCAUGGCUUGCCUUUACCUUUUCUUAAUGGUGUCUUUUGAUAAACCAGACAUUUUAAAUUUUCAUAAAGCCUAUUGUAUCGGGGGUUGUUUUUGUUUGUUCAUUUAUGGUUAGUACUCUUUUUGGUGCUAGCCAGGAAAACUUUGCCUACAUUCUCCUAAGCUCAUGAAUAUAUUUUUCUAUAUUUGUUUCUAGGACAUUUAUAAUUCAAACUUUUAUGUUCUAGCCUAUCACUCAUGUAUAGUUAUGUAUAGUAUAAAUAAGAGUUGAAGUUCAUUUUUCUUUCCAUAUACUUAUCCA
rnacentral:lncRNA from 1 species